rnacentral:rRNA from 1 species
UACAGAGGGUGCGAACGUUGUCCGGAAUCACUGGGCGUAAAGGGCGCGUAGGCGGCUCGGUAAGCGUGCGGUGAAAGCCCGGGGCUCACCCCGGGUCGGCCGUGCGAACUGCGGAGCUGGAGCACUGUAGAGGCAGGUGGAAUUCCGGGUGUAGCGGUGGAAUGCGUAGAGAUCCGGAAGAACGCCGGUGGCGAAGGCGGCCUGCUGGG